rnacentral:rRNA from 1 species
UACGGAGGGGGCUAGCGUUGUUCGGAAUUACUGGGCGUAAAGCGCACGUAGGCGGCUUUGCAAGUCAGAGGUGAAAGCCCGGGGCUCAACCCCGGAAUUGCCUUUGAGACUGCAUCGCUAGAAUUGUGGAGAGGUAAGUGGAAUUCCGAGUGUAGAGGUGAAAUUCGUAGAUAUUCGGAAGAACACCAGUGGCGAAGGCGACUCACUGGCCCGAUACUGACGCUGAGGCGCGAAAGCGUGGGGAGCAAACAGG